UACGUAGGGGGCAAGCGUUGUCCGGAUUUAUUGGGCGUAAAGAGCGUGUAGGCGGCUAGGUAGGUCCGUUGUGAAAACUCGAGGCUCAACCUCGAGACGUCGAUGGAAACCAUCUGGCUAGAGUCCGGAAGAGGAGAGUGGAAUUCCUGGUGUAGCGGUGAAAUGCGCAGAUAUUAGGAAGAACACCCGUGGCGAAGGCGGCUCUCUGGUACGUGACUGACGCUGAGACGCGAAAGCGUGGGGAGCGAACAGG
rnacentral:rRNA from 1 species